AUGAGUAGGUAAGAAUACUUUUAAUAUAUUUGUAUUGAAUGAAUACUUCAUCGCAAUGAGUGUAUGAAAAUGCAUUUAUCGAAUAAGAAAAUGAAAAUUUUAGAUUUAAAAUUUAGAAGCAUGUUAUUCAACUCAUCUUCGAUUAGCACUUGAUAAAUGCACCAAAAAUAGGACGAAAACAUUGCAGAGCUUGAAAAAUACAGAUAGAAAAACAGAAUAAUGUUACUUUGCGACGCAGUACGAGUAUACAAUAUUCAUUGUCAUCAUUCAAUGAAACACCUGUGUUUAUAUAUGGCUACGAGCUGUGGUAUCCUACAAGGCAGGUAGGUAAAGUAGGCGUACAUUCAGCAGUAUUAACAACUUCUAAAACGAAUUGAUUGUAUCCAUGAACUGAAAUCUGAUUGGAAAUAUUUUUUGCUUAAUUUGCUCGAUGUUAUAUCAUUAUCUCAAAAAUAUAGGUACCUACCUAAAUUGUAAAUACUUAUAUCUACACGUUUCCAACAGAUUCACUUAUUUAUAUUGACAUCGAAUUUAAAUGAAUAAUGUGCAAAAAAACGUUCAGUUCAUUUUUAUUAGAAAGAGCAAAACCUAAUCUCUUAAAAUUUCACCUAUUUUCUGACUCAGUCAUUAGAUGAGAAUUUUAAAAAGAGGACUGGAACAUGGAACAUCUGAAGUAUACUUGGGGAUCGUGCAUUCGAGAGAAAAUUCAGAUAGGUACCUAGUUAAUAUAAAAAUAAAUAAAUAAAUAUCAAAUCUUUGAAUUUACUUUGUCGUCGUCGGCAAUUUACGAAUAGAUAUACCAUACCUAACCAAAUUGUACAAUAAAUUCAUCAUGAAUUUUCCCGUUUAUUCAUCCGAAUUUUACCAACUUACACAGAUAUCUACGUAAGAAGGAAAAUGAAUCAUGCGAUAAACAAACCGGUACCUAACCUAAUCAGUUUCUAGAUUUUUUAUUUCCUGUCGCGAAUAUAGCAAGUAGAAGUACCAAUCAAUGAUGAAAUAGAUUUUUCCUUCAUCACAAUUCACAGUACACUUUUUUGGUCGGAAAAAUUUCAAUAAUAAUCAGGAAAGAUAGUAACCUGAUAUCUACCUACCUAAGUACCUACACCUAAUCCGUUCAAAACGCGCGCUUAUCAUUGAGUUCAAUUUCUUACCAUUUGUUUUUUUUUUCGAAGAGGAAAUUUUGACAUUUUUAAACCAAUAUAGGACAUGAUAUUUAUCAGUACUUUGAUGUUUGAUUUAUCAAAUUUUUUUCAGUGUUUAUUGGUAAGUGCAAAGUUCAUGAGAGGUUAAUAACAGUAAACGACAAAAGAAAUACAUUGUAUAACUCAAUGACAUUAUUAUAAUUUAAAUACCUAUAAAAUGAUAUAAAAUCGAGUAUUUGGGAGAAAAAGAAUAAAUAAUAUUUUACACGCGUACGAAAAUUGAUUCACGAGAUUGCGAACGUCUUAAAAAACAGUUUUGUUAUUAUUAACGUUUUUAUGGCGUAAGCAUUGAAUAACAGAUGCGUAGCGUUUCAUCCAAUCAACAAACUCUCGAUCUGCCACCAUCAUUCCUUUCGGGACAAUAUCAUUUGCGGAUAACUUGAUCCUGAAAAUUAAAUAAACAAUAACAAUAUUAUUCAUAAAUCUGUCAAUAAUAAACAUAAAUAAAACUGUGAACUGUACAAGUUAAGGAAAAUGGACUGUUACGACAAUAGAAUAAAAAAACACGUGUAAUUUAUUCGCUCUCACCAUAAUUCUACAUUCUUGGAACAAUGAGACGCAUAUUGCUCUACAUUUUUCAAAUUUGUUUUUGCUUCAUGAAUGGUUUUUUUCAACUUGUUCAAAAAUUCUCUUUGGUCUUCUUUUAUUUGCUGUUUUUUGUCGAUAAGAGAACCUGUGAACAUAAAAACACAAAACCGUUAAAAUUAUUUUUUCACAUAUCACUCGCAAUUCUUCUUAUCGAGUCAUUUAUCAAAAAUGGAGUCGACGCUCGUGAUUAUACAUUCCAACGCAAGGAAAUUAUAUUUUAAUCUUAUAAACACUGAGAAAAACAUUGAUUAAGUCAUUUACUCAUUUAGUCCGCAGAACUCUAAUGACGAUGAGAUAGCGAGUAUACUGAAAAAUUUUGCUUAUCAUCAAUUCAUUAUCCAUUAAAAUGAGUCAUAGGGCGAGGUGAACUUCGAUACCUAUUACCUACCCAACUUAUUCAUGAAUUACGAGUAGGUGUAGGUACACAUACAGUAGCUCGAAUAGAAAAUGAAAAAUGAUUGCAAAUAAAAUUUUGUAAAUGUACUAUUUAAUAAAACAUUAAAAAUUUUAGAUUUA